GAUCUAGCUUGCUAGAUGCUGACGAGUGGCGCACGGGUGAGUAACGCGUAUACAAUCUACCUUUAACUGAGGGAUAGCCCAGAGAAAUUUGGAUUAAUACCUCAUAGUAUUAUAAUUAGGCAUCUUUUUAUAAUUAAAACUUCGGUGGUUAAAGAUGAGUAUGCGUACUAUUAGCUAGUUGGUAAGGCAAAAGCUUACCAAGGCAACGAUAGUUAGGGGGCCUGAAAGGGUGAUCCCCCACACUGGUACUGAGACACGGACCAGACUCCUACGGGAGGCAGCAGUGAGGAAUAUUGCACAAUGGAGGAAACUCUGAUGCAGCCAUGCCGCGUGCAGGAAGAAUGCCCUAUGGGUUGUAAACUGCUUUUAUACAAGAAGAAACCUCGGUGCGUGUACCGACUUGACGGUAUUGUAUGAAUAAGCACCGGCUAACUCCGUGCCAGCAGCCGCGGUAAUACGGAGGGUGCAAGCGUUAUCCGGAUUUAUUAGGUUUAAAGGGUCCGCAGGCGGAAUAUUAAGUCAGUGGUGAAAGCCUACAGCUC
rnacentral:rRNA from 1 species